UACGGAGGGUGCAAGCGUUAUCCGGAUUCACUGGGGUUAAAGGGGGUGUAGGCGGACUUGUAAGUCCGUGGUGAAAUCUCCGGGCUCAACCCGGAAACUGCCAUGGAUACUAUUGGUCUUGAAUGUUGUUGAGGUGGGCGGAACGGGUCAUGUAGCGGUGAAAUGCAUAGAUAUGACCCGGAACACCGAUUGCGAAGGCAGCCCACUAAGCAAUGAUUGACGCUGAGGCACGAAAGCGUGGGGAUCAAACAGG
rnacentral:rRNA from 1 species